GCGGGUAUAGUUUAAUGGCAGAAUCCCAUGCUUCCGACCUGGUGAUGAGGGUUCGAUUCCCUCUACCCGCUCCA
rnacentral:tRNA from 1 species